GGGUUUGCCUUAGCUGGAUUUUGUAAAAUACAUUGCUGUUUUGGACCAUUUCCCAUGACUUCUGAUUAAGAGACUCCCCGUUCCUUUUCUCACAAUCACUGCCCAGGUCCCAGGUAUUUUUUCUGAAUUUACCUGUGGUUCUCUUUUCUUUCUGUCUUUGAAACAGGGCACCUUCGUGGCUGGAAAGUACAAGUGUCUUUUGUGUCAGAAAGAAUUUGUGUCAGAGAGUGGUGUCAAGUAUCACAUCAACUCCAUCCAUGCCGAGGAUUGGUUUGUUGUGAACCCGACGACCACGAAAAGCUUCGAGAAGCUGAUGAAGAUAAAGCGGCGGCAGCAGGAGGAGGAGAAGCAGCAGCAGCAGCACGGCAGGCGGCGCUCUCUGCGAAGGCAGCAACAGGCGCGCACGGAGCCUCCAGAGAGCCAGCCAGAGCCAAGGGCAGGGAAGGAGCAGAGCGGGAGUGAGGAGUUGGCGGGACCAGAGCCGGAGCCAGCGCCAGCACAGCCCCAGAAAGCUGAGCUCAGCAAGACCACUCACAAACGAGGGAGGAAAUAGGCAGCCGCUGAUGGUGCUUGGAGGAGAGUGGAUGCGGUGCAGCUGGCGUGGGGACACAUGCAGGCGAGGCCUGAGUCGUGGGGCUGGUGAAGAUGCUUUCAGCUACUGCUGCUGGGCGGUGGCUCUCAGCUCCUCUGUAAAUUUCAUGGUCUUCCUGACUCGUUCACUUUCUCCCCUCCCUGCCUUAG
rnacentral:lncRNA from 1 species